rnacentral:rRNA from 1 species
GAGUAACGCGUGARAAUUUGGCUUCAGGUCGGGGACAACCACUGGAAACGGKGGCUAAUACCGGAUAUGCCGARAGGUGAAAGGSUUGCUGCCUGAARAUAARCUCGCGUCUGAUUAGCUAGUUGGUGGGGUAAGARCCUACCAAGGCGACSAUCAGUAGCUGGUCUGARAGGAUGAUCAGCCMCACUGGGACUGARACACGGCCCARACUCCUACGGGAGGSAGCAGUGGGGAAUUUUCCSCAAUGGGCGAAAGCCUGACGGARCAAUACCGCGUGAGGGARGAAGGSUCUUGGGUCGUAAACCUCUUUUCUCAGGGAAAAAAAAAAUGACGGUACCUGARGAAWAAGCAUCGGCUAACUCCGUGCCAGCAGCCGCGGUAAUACGGAGGAUGCAAGCGUUAUCCGGAAUGAUUGGGCGUAAAGGGUCCGCAGGUGGUACUGUAAGUCUGCUGUUAAARAGCAAGGCUCMACCUUGUAAAAGCGGKGGAAACUACARAA